rnacentral:lncRNA from 1 species
ACAGAACUCAAAGCAGGCAGUGUGGUGGAUGUUAGGCAGCUGCAGGCACAAAACUGCAUUGGCUUCCCCACUGCAAAGCCCAGCCUCCAGGCAGUGAUGCAGCAGAGGUGAUGUAUAUGUGAUGGCAUCCUCGCAAGGCCCCUGCUGAAAUCAAGAUGGUCUUUGGUACGGGAGUUUUGCAGUUCUCUCUCUCCAAGGGCAGUCCUCAAAACACAGACUUAUUCCUCAGGACUCCCGCUUCAGGGUAGCUUGAAUCUGGUGGGGAAAAAAAAUUACAAAAACGCUGGAUGGGCUCGUGUGCUGCUUCAACAGCAGAAUGGAAACAAAAGGUGGAGCAACAUGGAGAGAGAGGCAGCCAGAUAGCUAGGAGCUGCUGCUGCUGCAGUAACUCAGGGCUGGAGGUGCUCACAUGUUUUGCAUUGCAGAAAUGGACCAAUACUACAGCUGCAACUAGAGGAGACUAUGACACCUACUCUCUUCCCUGAAGUGUCUGACCUUCACAAGCCAGAACACAAAGCCCAUCAGUCUGACACCAGCUGAAGGUGGCUUCAGGUAUGGCUUCAGAAUUUUGGCUCUGGAUGCAUUUUAACAUCAGUCUGGAAGGACCAGAGGAUACAAGGGUUUAGGUAUAAAAUUCCUUUUUUUUAAAAAAAAAAAAAAAAGUAUUGGUAGGUAAUUUUUUUUUUUUUUUGUCUCUUGUCACACUGCAAAUGGGGGUGUACAUGUAGAAAAAAAACCAAACAAACCACAAAACAACAGCAACAAAACAACAACAAAAACCUGUAAGGAAUCUUCAUUUGCAGCAGUUUUACUUUUGAUAAGUACAGCUAACACUAAUCCAAUGAGGAAGGUGUCAUUGCCUUCUAAUUAACUGGAGGGUGAGGGCAAGGGAGAAUUACAUUAAUGUGGAAGCAGCCUGCAAAGUUGCUGCAUGCUACAAUAAAAUAUUUUGCACUAGAAUUUUCUGAGAGGCU